GCGGGUAUGGUUUAGUGGCAGAAUGCGUCCUUGCCAAGGACGAGACGGCGGUUCAAUUCCGCCUACCCGCA
rnacentral:tRNA from 2 species